CCAGACUCCUACGGGAGGCAGCAGUGGGGAAUAUUGCACAAUGGGGGAAACCCUGAUGCAGCGACGCCGCGUGAGUGAAGAAGUAUUUCGGUAUGUAAAGCUCUAUCAGCAGGGAAGAGAAUGACGGUACCUGAGUAAGAAGCCCCGGCUAACUACGUGCCAGCAGCCGCGGUAAUACGUAGGGGGCAAGCGUUAUCCGGAUUUACUGGGUGUAAAGGGAGCGUAGACGGCGAAGAAAGUCUGAAGUGAAAGCCCGCGGCUCAACCGCGGGACUGCUUUGGAAACUGUGUUGCUGGAGUGCUGGAGAGGCAAGCGGAAUUCCUAGUGUAGCGGUGAAAUGCGUAGAUAUUAGGAAGAACACCAGUGGCGAAGGCGGCUUGCUGGACAGUAACUGACGUUGAGGCUCGAAAGCGUGGGGAGCAAACAGGAUUAGAUACCCCAGUAUG
rnacentral:rRNA from 1 species